GACACCUUGGGCCAAUGGGAAUCAUUUCCAUUUGAAGACAAGGCGAGGGGUGAAAAGGCUCCGCCAGCGGAAUUGCAGUGCGAUGUACCUUUUCUUUCCGAAGAAAGAAAACAAAACAAAACAACCGCUGGUGCAAGAGGGAACCGCAAGCUGCAAAGUUAAAGAAAAGUCGACUUCCGUUGUCAUUUGCUGCUCCGAGUGCGAACGAGGAGAGAUCGACCCGGUGUCAGCAGAGGCUCCGCAGAGGAAAGGGAGACCGAUGGAAAUGUGUUUUAAAAGUCACCUCCAUUUCAACACCGAGCGCGGAAUUUGCCCAAAAAGGUUAGAAAGACAAAUAUUAAAUCUGCCUUCACAAAGGGAGCCGCUAAAUAGAUCCGAAAUUAAUAUGCAUGUAAAAUUAAUUAGCUGCAUUUCAUGACAUCAAAAUAAGUACCUGGGAAACAAGAACACCUUCUGGGCAUUUGGCACCAUA